rnacentral:rRNA from 1 species
CGGACGGGUGAGUAAUGUCUGGGAAACUGCCUGAUGGAGGGGGAUAACUACUGGAAACGGUAGCUAAUACCGCAUAACGUCGCAAGACCAAAGAGGGGGACCUUCGGGCCUCUUGCCAUCGGAUGCGCCCAGAUGGGAUUAGCUAGUAGGUGGGGUAAAGGCUCACCUAGGCGACGAUCCCUAGCUGGUCUGAGAGGAUGACCAGCCACACUGGAACUGAGACACGGUCCAG